CGUAGGCAGCGAGCGUUGUUCGGAGUUACUGGGCGUAAAGCGUGCGUAGGCGGCGGCCCAAGUCUGGUGUGAAAUCUCCCGGCUUAACCGGGAGGGUGCGCCGGAAACUGGGUUGCUUGAGUGCCGGAGAGGCAGGCGGAAUUCCUGGUGUAGCGGUGAAAUGCGUAGAUAUCAGGAGGAACACCCGUGGUGUAGACGGCCUGCUGGACGGCCACUGACGCUGAGGCACGAAAGCGUGGGGAGCAAACAGGAUUAGAUACCCUGGUAGUCCACGCCCUAAACGAUGCAUACUUGGUGUGGGCAGUUCAGUCUGUCCGUGCCGAAGCUAACGCGAUAAGUAUGCCGCCUGGGGAGUACGGUCGCAAGGCUG
rnacentral:rRNA from 1 species